rnacentral:rRNA from 1 species
AUGGGCAUUGUGGGGAGCGUCGAGGAGGCUGAGGCAAGGGCCGCACUUAAAGUCCUGAAGGCUUUGGCUGAUUUGUACAGAGGACCAGUAGUGCUUGAGAUGGACUGUUUGACGAUGGUCAAUGAGUUAAAGAAGGAAGCACAAAGUCUCUCUCCAUGCUAUGGCGUCCUCUGUGACAUCAAGGAGACUCUGAAGGUGUUUUCAUCCUUUAAGAUCAGUCAUGUGGGAAGAAAAGGCAAUACUGUUGCUCAUGAGUUAGCCAUGGAGGCUAGACAGCUUGGGGAUCUGCGGCUUGUUGCAAAGGUCCCGGACAGACUGAUAAACCUGAUGCAGGCUGAAUGGCCAGACCAGAACAGGGGAGACCCAAACCCUGCCACCGCCGCCCCCUCAGAUUCCCAAUCUAUCCCCGCCUCAACACUGAGAAUUGCUCGCCGGAGUGCCCUCUUCCCCGACGCCGGUAGGCAGAUUCGCCGCCCAGACCGGCCGUGCGAGAGUCGCCGCCGCUGGGGGUUCGCGACGCCGCCGUUGCUCGCCAUCGUCCGCAGCGCCCUAGUCACCAUGCCGGGAACCGGAGGCGCGACCGUCCUGGACGACCUUGAGUGGAUCGUUGUCGAAGAGAUCCUCAUCCGUUUGCCGCCCAAGGACAUCCUCCGCUGCCGCGCCGUCCGCAGGUGGUGGCACAGUGCCACCUCCACCGACAAGUUCAUGCUGGACCACCACCGCCGCCAGCCCUUGCUCCCCAUCCUCAGCCACGCCGUCGACCCGCAGAAAUCCCACCUCCUGUUUUCCUUUGACGCCGGCGCAGGCCGGCAAAAGCUCUGCCCUGUCAUCCGGACCUACGACUACCGUAAACUCCAGGCAGCGUGUGACGGUCUCCUCAUUGUCUCCUAUGGAUCAAUGGCAGAUGAGUACGUCUGCAACCCGGUCACCCGCAAGUAUGCUCGCCUGGCGAAGCAUCAGCCGGAACGUGUUUUUUACCACCGGAUUGUCGGCUUCUACCGGCACCAACCAUCUGGAGGAGAAUUCCGAGUGCUAUGGAUCUCUAGUCCGACAAUCUACAACGCAUACCACCCAAAUUACAGAACUUUCUACUAUGUCAUAGCGGUGGGAUCCGAUAGUACAAGAUACAUCAGACAAGGAUGCAUCACACAACCAACAAUCUCAUCUGCCUUGGAGCUGGCGUUACGCAGGGGCCUGCCUGAAUCGUCCCAAUAUCCACCAGUCCACCACCGUGGCGGCCUGCACUGGAAACUUGGAAAAUACCACGGCUACGAUGCGGACUACAUAAUGGUGUUCAACACAGCAGCUGAAAAAUUUAGAUUGAUGUGUCGUCCUGCCCGAUUGGGCAACUGCUUACAGGAGUCGUUGUUGGAGAUGGAUGACACUCUUGCUUUGUGCAGCAUCUGCAGUGACAAACACACCAUAGACUUUUGGGUGUUACAGGACUAUGAUGCUGAAACAUGGUCUUUCAAGCAUCGAAUUAAUUUGAUUGGGAUGGAUCCAUCAGCGCUUGUUGAUCCAGAGGUCAUAAUAUCCCCUAGGAUGGCUGUUCUCAGUGGGGGUGAGAUGCUGAUUCGGUUUACUCAUAGGGGUGUGUUGCAUUUUGACGUCAAUGGCAAGUUUUUAGGAUAUGUGAAAAGUCAAGACGGCGAACAAAUCAAUUUGUGGGUUACCGGGCAUUACCUCCAGGAGAGCAUUAUUCCCGGUCCACUGUUCCAUGAGAUGAGAGAAGAUGAUGGUGUGAACCAGGAGCCUCCAUUUUUUGUAGGACUGUAG